GCCCGGAUGGUGGAAUGGCAGACACAGCAGACUUAAAAUCUGCUUCUUUCGGGAGUACGGGUUCGAGUCCCGUUCCGGGUACCA
rnacentral:tRNA from 1 species